rnacentral:sRNA from 1 species
AGAAGUAAGUUGCUUUCUUGGGCCAGUGAGAUGGCUCAGUGGGUAGAGGCACGGGCUGCCAAGCCUGAUGACUGAAAUUGAUCUUAAGAGAUCACAUGGGGAAGGAGAGGAUUCAUCCUAUCAGGUAUUCUCUGACCUCCAAGCUUGUCCGUGUGUGUCCGUCUGUCCGAGAGUGCGUGCAUGCGUGUGUGUGCAUGCAUGUGUGUGUGUGUGCGCGUGUAUGUGCGUGUGUGUGUGGUGGGGGUUGGGGUGAUAUAUUGAGGCACACAAUCCAAAUAACUAGAUGUAAUAAAAAUGUUUAAAGUACAUUUCUUCUACUUCACAUUUCUUUUCACUGGACUGAUAUUAUUGACUUACUGAACAUAAGUGCUUGAGGGUACACACAAAUCCUUUGGUAUGCUGUGUGCCGUGGCUGUUUUUCUGUCGCUGGGACUUUCCUGAUUAUUUCUCACUGAUAACUUUUGAUUGAGUAGGGACUUUUAUGUUUUGUUUUUGUUUUGUUUUGUUUUGUUUUUUUCUGGAGCUGAGGACCGAACCCAGGGCUUUGUGCUUGCUAGGCAAGCGCUCUACCACUGAACUACCCCCGAUUAGGGACUUUUAAUUUCGAUGAAAUUUAAUUAAAAAAUUUUUUUUAUUCUUUUGAGAUACAAUCUUGGUGUGGAACCCAGGUUGUUCUGAGACAUGCAAUCCUCCUGCCUUAGUCCCUGAAGGGCUAGGGUUACAGAUGUGCAUUAUGCCUCAUCGAUGACGUAAAAGUUAUUAUUUAUUCAUUAGGGCUAGUAAUAUUUGUUCACUGGCUCUUUGAUUUACUUCAGAUUGCCUCUAUUUGGUGUAUAAGAGCUAAAUUGUUUUUUUUCCUCACCACCAUUCUUGUUAAACUUAUUAAAGAUUGCUUUAUUUCCUUUUAAAAUUUAAAUAGUAUGUUAUAGAAGCAUCCUCCUCCCCCCUCUCUCUUUCUAUCCCUCUGUCUAUCCCUCUGAACUUGCACGUGAUUGACAAGCACUCUACCUCUGAGCUAAAUCUUCAACCCUAGUCUCUCCCAAGUAGUUACAUGAUUAGCUCGAUUGCUGGUUGUAGUGACCAUGCUUUUGAUGACAGAUUUAUAGAACUGGUUUUGUGGCCUUGGAAUAAUGUAUUCCUUUCUGCUCUGAAGAGGAUUUAUGAUCACUCUUGCUGUGCUGUUAGACAAGACACUAGCACAUAUCCCUUGCAUAGUAAUCACUUUUGUAUUGUUGUGUGAAAGAUAGGUUCUAUUUUAAAGGAUAUAAUACUCCUUUAUAUCUUUAAAGGAUAUAACCUCAUAAUGGUGCUUAAGGUAGAAGGCUGAGUUAGUAUACCAUGCUAAAAAAUUACAUAAAUGCAGUAAUUUUAGUAAACUUAAGAUUUUUCUUUUUAUUUUGUUUGUAUGAAUGUUUUGUGUGCAUGUACGUAAGUGUACUGUGUGUGCCUGGGGCCUGAAAAGACCAGAAGAAAGAACUAGAUGCCCUGGGACUUGAAUUAUGGGUAAUUGUACUCUAUCAUGUGGGUGCUAAGACUGAAUCUAGAUCCUCAGGCAAAAGCAGUAAAUGCUCUUAACCUCUGAGCCAUCUCUCCCGCCUCUCUAGAAUCAGAACUAUAAAGCUGAAAACAAAGUCCUUGCAUUGUUAAAUUUUGUGAGACAUGAUUAAAUAUAAAAUUUAAGACAAGAUUUUUAAACAUAGUUGUUAUGUUUGGAAUACUUAUACCAGAACCAUUAUAUAAACAUAUAAACAUAUUACGUAAGCCCAGUUGUCUUGCAGUUUUGAGAUAGCAGCAUUUAACCAUGAGUGAUCUAUCCCUCAAAGGGCUGAAUUUUAAUUUUAUUACUCUCUUAGGAUUUGUGCCAGUUUUUGGUUAAUCAUUAUCUUGUUGAUUAUGUUUGGUUCCAGAUGACUCAUUUUUCAAGGAGCUUUAUUGCAACAUAACAUAUUUACUACAGGAAGCCUGGACGGAAAGGGAGCGUCAGGGUAUUGGAGAUUGUAUUUCUCCAGUCUUUAUUGUACCAGGUGUUAUUAAAGUUAAUCAUUUUUCAAUAACCGUUUUCUCUAUAAAACCCAGUACUUCAUUAACCAACUGUUCCAUCAUUUAUUUCUUGGCAGAUGAAAGUUUAUCUUUGAUAGCUGUUUAGAUUUGGUUAUACUACCACAGCAUGCUUUAAGCUGAAUGUAUUUUAUUUUCAUGGAAUUGAGGUGAAUAUUAUUACAGUUAGCUAACAAUUUUGGAAUCAGAGAUCUGAGGAUUGUUCCUUGUUUCUAGAAUUUACUACUUUGGAAGAUUGGACAAAUAUGUCUCUGAGCCGAAGUAUUCAUUUAAGUGAAUGUCUGAAUUCUUAUGAAUCUACAUAGAAAACAUUUACCUUGGGAGUAUAGCUUGGUUGGUAGAGUGCUUGCCUAGUAGCAUCUUGAGGCCCUGAGUUAGAUUUCCCAGCACUAUGCUAUCUGGACAGGGUAUUGCACAAACUGUAUCCCCCAAUCUAGGAGGCAGAGGCAAAAAGAGCAGAGGUUUCAAGGUCAUUUUCUGUUGCAUAACAAGUUCAAGACUAGCCCAGACCACAAGACCUAGUCUCACAACCUAAGUUUCUAAAGGACAUAAAGAGAGUGUCUGAUGCUUACUAUGUACUUAAUUCACUGUAAUGUUGUAUUGAUGAUCAUUACCUGCUGACAUUCAUAAUGAGUAUUUAAAGUGUGGGUGUCAGCCAUUUUAGCUUCCUCUGACUAGGCUCUAACAGUGAACAUGACAUGAGGCAGAUGCCUCCUUCUCUUUCUAAAGUUCAGAUUUUGAUAAUAGAUUGGUGAAUCCAAAGGACGGAUGGAGAGUUCACUGCAGUCACCAACAAGUUUAGACCACAACGAUUUUCUAUGAGGAAGUUUAACUAGCCACGCCCAUUCUGAAUGCAUUCCAUUUAGUCCGGCAGGCAGUGGCAAGAGAAUUCAGAUCUAUCUUCUGCAGUGUAACAGAGAGCCUGGGGCAAAACUAGAGCUAGAAAGGGAAAGAGGCCUGCCUUUUAUGGGCUGUGGUGGGUGAAAGUUUUCUGCAGCAAACAGAAAAGGCAAAGUGUGAAGAGGGUGGGGGGAAUUAAAAACAUGAAAGCAAUUUUCCCCCCAAGACAAUAGCUAAAAACUUGGAGUAGGUAGGGAAUGGAACAACCCAGGUGUCAGUUUCUUAAGUAGAAUAGCAGUUAGAUGAUCACAGGGACCUUGAAGUUGCUCCGACUGGUGGUGCUGGAAAGCUAGUUAGGUAGUCAGUCUAGCAUUAAAUCUUGUCUGUAAUUUGGACUGUGGGAAAUGGGGUUGUGGAUAAUGGUGAAUGAUUAAGUCAGUUAGGAUCUAAUUACAAGGAGGAAAGAUGUAACAGGACACUCUGGAGUAACCAUGUGUGCCACAGUAGGAAGGUAGAUUUAUUGUGUGAAAGGUAGCCAAUGAACAGCUGCCAUUUUUACUCAGCAGGAGUGGAAAUGAUGUCUCUUAGAACAUCCUCUUUUCUCUGUUAUGUGGUUCUGUCAAGUUUCUUUGUUAAAGAAUAUUCCAAGGGCAUCCAUAGUGAGUGAAGGUUUGAAAAGUGGCCAUUCUACUGGGAGAGAGGACAAGGGGGAAAGGUUGGGAAAUGUGAUUUACAGCAGUCCUUGUUCUGUUAGUUACCAGCCACAUGAUGGAUACGUGACGGAGCAGUUGGUUUUCUGGUGGUACCACACGAAUGCAUUUGUGCAAACCUCAAAAGACUCAUGGAAACAGGGCAUUAGUCUUAAUGAACAACCUCUAAGUAAAUUAGGUUGCUGAGAUGUAAAAAGGAGCUCUCUCACUAUUGCGUAGACCUGGGGAAGACUCAAAGAUUAUCAUUUCUGACCCUUGCAACACUUGUGACUGAUAAGCUUUAGAUAGUGUAUGGCUGACUUUGAGUGCUGUUUUGUAAUUUGGGAAGUGUUUAAUUUAUUCAACGGAUAGAUACACCAUUCUUCUUCAUUGGUGAUUGUGAUUGAAAUCGAUCUCCCUCCCCACUCUCGUUCCCUCCUGCUGUAACUAGAGAGAGUUUCAGAAAGUUUGCUACUAUUGUAGACUCGUAAACUUUCUGUGUAGAGGCAGUAAUCCUCAAGUUUAGCAGCUUGGCUCUGAAUCUCAUAACAAUUCUGAGUUCCUAUCUGAAGGAAUGUUUUAAAUCUUUUUUUUUUUUUUUUUGGCUUCUUUUAUAGACAUCAUAUGAUAAUAACAUUGGCAUGUCUUUCAUUGAAUCUUUGAUGGGAAAAAAUAGUACAUAAAGAACUAAAUUUCCAAAAGGGAAGACAGGAAAAUGACAAGCCUAAUUUAUUCAGGAUUUCUGCUGUGGCUUCUAAACACUGUGGACUACCUCUUCUGCUCUCCAGGGGGUGAUCUUGGUAAAUGAAACAAGUCACAGCCUCUGGUGUUGCUUAGAGCAGCAGCAUGGCAGUGCAAUACACUUUUUAUAUUUAUUAUUGUGUGUAUUUGCAUGUGCGUGCAUGUUCAAGGCACAGGUAUGGAGAUCAGAGGUCAAGUUUCUGGAGCUGGUUCUCCUUCCACCUAUGGGCUCUGAGGAUUGAACUCAGGUUAUCAGGCUUGGUGGUGACCUGCCACUGUCUCACCAGUAUUCGGUCCAUGAAGCUGAACUGAGGACUGAGACUUUUAGAAAACAUUGAGAUACAGUUUUAUAUGUAAUAUCACACUCUUGUGAUACACGUGUGUGUGUGUGUGUGUGUGUGUGUGUGUUCGUUCAAAAGAAUUGAAAUCGCUAAAGCAUUAUUGACAGUAAGUAGUUGAAGCAUAGAAAUCAGUGAGGUGCCUAUUAAUGGAUGGAUUUUAAAAUAUGGUGUGUGUAUAUAUAAUAAAGUACCAUUUGGCUUUAAAGGAGGCGGGGGUUUUGUAGUUUGGGAUAACAUGGCUAGCCCUAAAGGCUGUUACUCAGUGGAUUAAACCAGGCUCAGAGAAGGACCAGGUGACUUUACAUGUGGAUCAUAAAAUACUUGAAUGCUUUUCAUCUACUUAAAAACAUAAAAAUAUUCUUAGUUCACAUAAACAAGUGAUACAAUUAGAGUUGAUUUGUGGGUAGUAACUUCCAAUUAAAAUACUGGCUGUAAUUGUUCUCUGUUGGGUAAAAAACAUGGGAGAAUUCUUGUAAUAAUUUUAAAGAAUAAACUAGUUUUAUUUGCUAUAGUUACAAAUUAGAAACUAAUAUAGGUAAAUGUUAUUUUUACCAGAAAUGUAUAAAAUUCUAAGAUUAUAGGACUUUGAUUAUAUUCCUCUUAAAGUCUCACAUGUUUUGGGUUGUGCAUGUGUGUUCAUACACACACACACACACACACACACAGAGAGAGAGAGAGAGAGAGAGAGAGAGAGAGAGACAUAUAUUGAGAGAUUAUCUUACUGUGGCUCCUGCUGGCCUCAAAGACAGCCCUCUUGUUUCAGCCACCCGUCACUGUAGGAUUUCGGGUGUUCCCACCAUGUCAGA